CCGGACCGGAUUCUUGAAUGUAUUUCCUUCAGACGGGGUUUAUAAGAGCACUUCCUCGUGAUUGGGAUAGUCAGUGUACUUUUUCCAGGUUAGGUUUAGGUUAUGCUUUUGAGGGGCGGGUUUCAGGGGUUGCAUUUCAGUUAGGCUGGUUGGCAUUCGCAGUUUCUGCUCAUUGGGUUCGCUGACGCACUUUCUCGCGGGGCUGGCGUGGGGAGGGGCUGGUUAGUGUCCAUCCCUCGCCUCAGUCGCACGGAAGAGCGGGGCGCCGUGUCCCGGGACUCCAGUUCGUCGGAUGUGGGUGUCCCCUCCUUGUUCAGUCCGCGCUGUAUGCGCUGCGCCAACUCCCGCACACUUUGCGGUCUGUCAGGUCCGUGUGGCUUACAGGACACAGACGGCCAAAUCUUCCUGAAUCCGGGACUACUGGUGGUUCUGUUCGAUGAUGUGCCAGUUCGGUUUGCAUUCCGGGUAAAUGGGGAAGGUGUUAUAGUCUGGUUAACUCACUAUGUUUUAUUAUUUGGAAGAUAUAAACUAGUGGAAGGCAACAUUUAGAAGCGGCUUCAUGUUCUUUAUCUUGACUUAUUCCUAGGAUCACAUGUGAGCUGGGGCCCGUCCUCGUGGAGCACUUGGUCCCCCGCUGUCCUCUGUUGUCAAGUGGCCACGGUUGCGCGGUUUGUCCUUUCGUCUGCAGAGAUAAGCUUUUAGAUUAACUUUUUAUCUCUCUUUGUAUUUGGAGCUGAGCAUGAACUCACUACCAUCCGACUGGAAGGACACUAUUUUCCCAAUCUUUUUUAGUAGUUAGAAAUUGAGUGUAUGUUCUGUGCUUUUUUGUAAUAAUGCAUACAUCUGCUUCUUAUGCUGAUGGGGGUUUAGUUCUGUUUGCGAUGCUCUUUGGGUCCCAUCUACAGGAGUCAUUUGUUAUUUGCUCAUGGCUCUAAAAGACUAGUUUUUGCAUACAUGUGUAUCUUUGUGUAAUUUGCCUUAAUUUUCUGCACUCGGACAUAUGUAAGGUAGCUAAAACAUAAAUUGAAGUUUAAAGUGCCCUGAAGCCUUAUACAACCAGUAAACAUGAGGAUUUUUAACUAGUGUGUCAAGCUGGUUUGGUGAGGAAAUUAUUGCAGGGCCUGUCCCUGAAGGAGCACCAAGGAAAGCUCACCUCCUCUUUUUCUUUUAUUUUGUUUUGUUAAUCCCCACCGGAGGAUGUUUUUCCAUUGAUUUUUGAGAGAGUAGAAGGGGGAUAUAUAGAGAGAAACAUUGAUGUGAGAGACACACCAAUUGGUUGCCUCUGGAAUGUACCUACAACUCAGGUAUGUGCCCUUGACCAGGAAGUGAACCCAAGACCCUUUGGUGAGUGGCCCAAUGCUCUAACCACUGAGUACACCGACAGAGCAAGCUCAUCUCCGUUUGACAACCUUCCUUCUUGGCCUGGUCUUGGGUCUCUGCCCUUUACGGAUAGCAGCCCAAGACCCUGGUGGCCUGUGAUUGUGUCUUUCAUGACAUUCUCCAGUUUGAGUCCCUGACUCCUAUGCCUAGAUGAUAGGAUCAGAAAUAAGAAAGGAGAAUUGAUUUAAAAGCAAGAUCUUACUGUAGAUAUGGAAUCCCAAGAAAAACUAUCUGGCCCGACCAACGGAGAGGGUCCUGGAUGUGGAGACACCCAAGAACCGGAAGGAUGGACAGAAAGACAUCAGAGAAGCACUUCAAGUGAGAGAAGGUGCAAGUGUGAUGAACAUGAGAAAAGAUUCACUCAGAACUCAUUAGACAAAAGAGAAUUCACACUGGAGAGAGACACUGUUCAUGUAAUGUCUGUGGCAAUUUUAAUGCAGAAGCUCACAACGUAUUGACCGUCAGAGAAUACAUAGCCUGUUUUAUAGGUUAAAACUAUCAGUGUGAGGAGUGCAGAAAGCCUUUAUCACAAUUCACACCUUGUUCAGCAUCCAUGGACCUGCACUGGUGAAAUGCCUUUCCAGAAUGGUGAGUGUGGCAAAGCUUUUCAUGACAGCUCAGUCACAUCCGACACCAGAGGACCUGCACAGGAAACAAGGCACACCAGAGCAUUGACUGGGGGAAAUGCUUCAGCCUGAGCUCAGGCCCUAUGAGUGUGAGGAGGGUGGGAAGACCUCAGUUACAGCUCACGUCUGGGACCCAGAAGAAUCCACAUGGGAGAGGAGCCCUGGUGACACAAGAGUGCGGAGCUACUCCUGGCACUCGUUCCGAGGACACCAAGAUGCACGCUGGCGAUGGUGUUGCCCUAACAGUGCUGAGCUCUCCACUCCCGGCCACUUAUUCCAGAGUCACGUGAACACAGCUUCCAAGCAGCAUGGGAUGCUUUGCCCACUGAACACAUCACCUGCUGAGCUGGGACGCUGGAUGGGCCCAUUCGUGUUGUCAAACUCUUCUCAGAAGUCAGUUGCUCAGGAAAUCUUAGUGUUUAUAUUCCUCUUCCCCUUCUCUCCUCCCUAUUUUCUGAACUACUUUGGAAAAAAAAACGCCAACACCUCAAUAUUUGGUUAACUUGAUCAAAUACAUUAAUCUAUCAAUUAUUUAAACUAAAAACAUGGUGAAAGACAAAAACUAUUUUGUUAUACUGGAAUGGAUUAUGCUUUGCAGGGCCAGAAUGGGUCAAGGCUGGAUGGAUCGAUCAACCUGCUGAUCCACAGGGACCUUUCACAUCUUUAACCAGAGGUGGCAGACAAGCCCCACAUAGUUUUUGUUUGUUAGUUUUUUGUAAUUUAAAAUAAUAGCAACUCUUUAAGACUCUGCAUAUUUCACAUAGAAUCUGACUUUCCAGAUUUUCUUAUAAAAAUACUGUGCACAUUUUUGUCUGUUAAUAUUUGUAUUCUAUAAAUGCCUAUUUAAAUCCUUAGCCAAUUUUUCUAUUGGCUUGUUUAUAUUUUUCUUACUUUUUUGUAAGAGGUCUUUGCAUAUUAGGAAAAUUAGCCCUGUGUUGUUUAGAUGUGACAUAUUUUGGUCUGACUUUAUAGCUGGACAAGUGGAAUGAGAAGUUAACUAGAAGAGGACGUUCUGCCAAGAAAAGACAGGAGCCUGCAAGCAGGCCACGUCAGAACAAAGUCUUGCAAACAAGACUUAUUGUUUAGAGGCAUAACUUUCCUUGAGGUGAUAAAUAGUCCAUGAGGGCAUGGAAAGUUCAAGGGAGGGUGCACUGCUGCAGGUGGAAAGAGUCUUUGUAUAACAGAGGAAAUGAAUAGUGUAAUGUACAACUUAGCUCAGAUGAUCUCAUCAGCAUGCUUGUUAAUCAUUGUCACUUGCUGUACUCCAUUGUUAUUUGCUGUACUCCCCAAAUAAAGACCAUGAGAGCUUUGGGGGCUUUGCUAUUCGCCUGAGCGAGUGGUACCCCUCUGCUUCUCUAAACUCAA